GUAGGCGUUCUAUAAAUGUGUCACAAGAAUGGCUUCCCUGAGGAAGGCGGCAUUACCGCUGCCUUUCUGCAGAAAAGGAAACUGAGGCUCAGCAAGAACCACCGCCCAGCCAGAGCCAAGGUCACAGAGCACGUCCGUGGCACGCGUCCAGGUCGUGCCACAGCACGGCCGGCGGCUUCGACGCGGGCAGCCGGGUCCCUUUUCUUUGACAGAUGGGGAAACCGAGACCCGGCCGGCUGCCGGGGCUCCUCGCACCUACCCCAGCAACUCAAAUUCACCACCUCGGACUCCUGCGACCGCAUCAAAGACGAAUUUCAGCUACUGCAAGCUCAGUACCACAGCCUCAAGCUCGAAUGUGACAAGUUGGCCAGUGAGAAGUCAGAGAUGCAGCGUCACUAUGUGAUGUACUACGAGAUGUCCUACGGCUUGAACAUCGAGAUGCACAAACAGGCGGAGAUCGUCAAAAGGCUGAACGGGAUUUGUGCCCAGGUCCUGCCCUACCUCUCCCAAGAGAUGAAGAGACGAGCUUGGUGAAAGGAAGCAGUUGGAGAGAGGGAGGGCGCUUUCUGAUGGGGUUGAAAACCACUGGGAGGAGCAGACAUGAUGGCCCACUUGGUAGUGGGGCUCCUCCUGGCCUCAGGGCCGUCCCCCCCUCCUCUCCCAGGAUCAGGAGGAAUCACUGCCUCUCCUCUCCCCCGACCCCCUUCCAGCACCAGCAGCAGGUCUUGGGAGCAAUUGAGAGGGCCAAGCAGGUCACCGCUCCCGAGCUGAACUCUAUCAUCCGACAGCAGCUCCAAGCCCACCAGCUGUCCCAGCUGCAGGCCCUGGCCCUGCCCUUGACCCCACUGCCCGUGGGGCUGCAGCCGCCUUCGCUGCCGGCGGUCAGCGCAGGCACCGGCCUCCUCUCGCUGUCCGCGCUGGGUUCCCAGGCCCACCUCUCCAAGGAAGACAAGAACGGGCACGACGGUGACACCCACCAGGAGGAUGAUGGCGAGAAGUCGGAUUAGCAGGGGGCCGGGACGGGGAGGUUGGGAGGGGGGACAGAGGGGAGACAGAGGCACGGAGAGAAAGGAAUGUUCAGCACAAGACACAGCGGAGCUCGGGAUUGGCUAAACUCCCAUAGUAUUUAUGGUGGCCGCCGGCGGGGGCCCCAGCCCAGCUUGCAGACCACCUCUAGCUUUCUUCCUAUCCCAGUCCCGGCCUCCCUCCUCCUCCCCUGCAGCCUGGUUAGGUGGAUACUUGCCCUGACAUGUGAGGCAAGCUAAGGCCCGGAGGGUCAGAUGGGAGACCAGGUCCCAAGGGAGCAAGACCUCGCGAAGCGCAGCACCCCCGGCCCUUCCCCCAUUUUGAACAUGUGUAACUGACAGUCUGCCUGGGCCCCUCGGGACACAUGCCACAGCCCUCUCACCCUGGUACUGCAUGCACGCAAUGCUAGCUGCCCCUUUCCCGUCCUGGGCACCCCGAGUCUCCCCCGACCCCGGGUCCCAGGUAUGCUCCCACCUCCACCUGCCCCACUCACCACCUCUGCUAGUUCCAGACACCUCCACGCCCACCUGGUCCUCUCCCAUCGCCCACAAAAGGGGGGGGGCACGAGGGAUGAGCUUAGCUGAGCUGGGAGGAGCAGGGUGAGGGUGGGCGACCCAGGAUUCUCCCUCCCCUUCCCAAAUAAAGAUGAGGGUACUAAAGUUGUCUUGGUUUUUAUUUUAUUAUUAUUUUUUUCUUUUUCCAGUAUACUAGCUUGUCUUUUAAGAAAGGGGAUAUUAAAAAAAAAAGACAAAAAUGUUUUUAAAAAAAAGCAACACCCACACCUGUGUCUGUAUAUAGUCAGCUUAUCUCGUGUUCAGUCGUCUGAUCUCUACAGAGAGAAGUGGAAAAUGCUGUAUCGAGGGUGGGCUUAGCUGUGCCUUUCCAAUAAAGAUGUGAGAAGCUUC